ACCGUACCGCAAACCGACACUGGUGCGCGAGAUGAGUAUUCUAAGGCGCUUGAGAGAACUCAGGAGAAGGAACUCGGCAAAUUGACACCGUAACUUCGGAAGAAGGUGUGCCCUAUUAGUGUGUAGUGAACAACGAAGCAUGAAUGGGUUGCAAAAAAUCGGUGGCUGCGACUGUUUAUUAAAAACACAGCACUCUGCAAACACGAAAGUGGACGUAUAGGGUGUGACGCCUGCCCGGUGCUGGAAGAUUAAAUGAUGGGGUGCAAGCUCUUGAUUGAAGUCCCAGUAAACGGCGGCCGUAACAAUAACGGUCCUAAGGUAGCGAAAUUCCUUGUCGGGUAAGUUCCGACCUGCACGAAUGGCGUAACGAUGGCCACACUGUCUCCUCCUGAGACUCAGCGAAGUUGAAAUGUUUGUGAUGAUGCAAUCUCCCCGCGGAAAGACGGAAAGACCCCAUGAACCUUUACUGUAGCUUUGUAUUGGACUUUGAACAGAUCUGUGUAGGAUAGGUGGGAGGCUUUGAAGCAGGGUCGCUAGAUCUUGUGGAGCCAACGUUGAAAUACCACCCUGGUGUGUUUGAGGUUCUAACCUAGGUCCAUUAUCUGGAUCGGGGACAGUGCAUGGUAGGCAGUUUGACUGGGGCGGUCUCCUCCCAAAGCGUAACGGAGGAGUUCGAAGGUACGCUAGUUACGGUCGGACAUCGUGACGAUAGUGCAAUGGCAUAAGCGUGCUUAACUGCGAGACUGACAAGUCGAGCAGAUGCGAAAGCAGGACAUAGUGAUCCGGUGGUUCUGUAUGGAAGGGCCAUCGCUCAACGGAUAAAAGGUACUCUGGGGAUAACAGGCUGAUACCGCCCAAGAGUUCAUAUCGACGGCGGUGUUUGGCACCUCGAUGUCGGCUCAUCUCAUCCUGGGGCUGUAGCCGGUCCCAAGGGUAUGGCUGUUCGCCAUUUAAAGAGGUACGUGAGCUGGGUUUAAAACGUCGUGAGACAGUUUGGUCCCUAUCUUCCGUGGGCGCUGCAGAUUUGAGGAAGCCUGCUCCUAGUACGAGAGGACCGGAGUGGACACACCUCUGGUGUAUCGGUUGUCACGCCAGUGGCAUUGCCGAGUAGCUAAGUGUGGAAGAGAUAACCGCUGAAAGCAUCUAAGCGGGAAACUCGUUUCAAGAUGAGAUCUGCCGGGGCCUUGAGCCCCCUAAAGAGUCGUUCAAGACCAGGACGUUGAUAGGUCAGGUGUGGAAGCCAG
rnacentral:rRNA from 1 species